GUGAGUCUCAGUUGGGCUUGUAGGAG
rnacentral:piRNA from 1 species